UACAGAGGUCUCAAGCGUUGUUCGGAUUCAUUGGGCGUAAAGGGUGCGUAGGCGGGCAGGUAAGUCCGUGGUGAAAUCUCUGAGCUUAACUCAGAAACUGCCAUGGAUACUAUUUGUCUUGAAUGUUGUGGAGGUAAGCGGAAUAUGUCAUGUAGCGUGAAAUGCUUAGAUAUGACAUAGAACACCCAUUGCGAAGGCAGCUACUACACAAUAUUGACGCUGAGGCACGAAAGCGUGGGGAUCAAACAGG
rnacentral:rRNA from 1 species